rnacentral:Y_RNA from 1 species
CGUUGGUCCCAGUGCAGUGGUGUUUUCAGCUAAUUGAUCACAACCAGUUACAGAUUCCUUUGUUCCUUCUCCACUCCCACUGCUCCACUUGACCAGCCUUUA